UACGAAGGGUGCAAACGUUGCUCGGAAUUAUUGGGCGUAAAGCGCACGUAGGCGGCAUUGUAAGUCGGAUGUGAAAUCCCUCGGCUUAACCAAGGAAGUGCAUCCGAAACUGCAGUGCUUGAGUACUUAAGAGGAUCGCGGAAUUCCCGGUGUAGAGGUGAAAUUCGUAGAUAUCGGGAGGAACAUCUGUGGCGAAGGCGGCCAUCUGGACCAGCACUGACACUGAGGCACGAAAGCGUGGGGAGCAAACAGG
rnacentral:rRNA from 1 species